AUGAACGCUAGCGGCAGGCUUAAUACAUGCAAGUCGUGGGGCAGCAUGUCCCUGCUAGCAAUACAGGGAGGAUGGCGACCGGCAAACGGGUGCGGAACACGUACAGCAACCUUCCUUCUAAGUGGGGAAUAGCCCCUGGGAAAGCCCGGGAUUAAUACUCCCGUAAAUAAUGAUGAAGUGGCAUCAUUUUACUAUUAUAGCUCCGGCGGCUUUAAAGAUGGGUGUGCGACUGAUUAGGCAGUUGGCGGGGGUAACGGCCCACCAAACCUACGAUCAGUAACUGGUGUGAGAGCACGACCAGUCACACGGGCACUGAGACACGGGCCCGACUCCUACGGGAGGCAGCAGUAAGGAAUAUUGGUCAAUGGACGCAAGUCUGAACCAGCCAUGCCGCGUGGAGGAUUAAGGUCCCUCUGGGAUUGUAAACUUCUUUUAUCUGGGAAGAAAUCCAUGAAUUCUUUGUAAGGAUUGACGGUACCAGAGGAAUAAGCACCGGCUAACUCCGUGCCAGCAGCCGCGGUAAUACGGAGGGUGCAAGCGUUAUCCGGAUUCACUGGGUUUAAAGGGUGCGUAGGUGGGCAUGGUAAGUCAGUGGUGAAAUCUCCUAGGCUUAACUUGGAAACUGCCAUUGGAUACUAUCAGUCUUGAAUAUCGUGGAGGUCAGCGGAAUAUGUCAUGUAGCGGUGAAAUGCUUAGAUAUGACAUAGAACACCAAUUGCGAAGGCAGCUGACUACACGAAUAAUUGACAGCUGAGGCACGAAAGCGUGGGGAUCAAACAGGAUUAGAUACCCUGGUAGUCCACGCCCCUAAACGAUGGAUACUCGACAUACGCGAUACUACUGUGUGUGUCUGAGCGAAAGCAUUAAGUAAUCCCACCUGGGAAGUACGAUCCGCAAGAUUGAAACUCAAAGGAAUUGACGGGGGGUCCGCACAAGCGGUGGAGCAUGUGGUUUUAAUUCGAUGAUACGCGAGGAACCUUACCUGGGCUAGAAUGUUCACGCGACAGAGGGUGAAAGCAGGUCUCCCUUAGCAAUAGAGCUCGUGAAUAAGGUGCUGCAUGGCUGUCGUCAGCUCGUGCCGUGAGGUGUUGGGUUAAGUCCCGCAACGAGCGCAACCCCCUAUCACUAGUUGCCAUCAGGUAACUGCUGGGAACUCUAGUGAAACUGCCGUCGUAAGGACGUGAGGAAGGAGGGGAUGAUGUCAAGUCAUCAUGGCCUUUAUGCCCAGGGCUACACACGUGCUACAAUGGGACGUACAAAGGAGCUAGCUACACAGCGUAAUGUGAAUGCCUAAUCUCAAAAAAACUCGUCUCAGUUCAGAAUUGAGGUCUGCAACUCGACCUCCAUGAAGCUGGAAUCGCUAGUAAUCGUAUAUCAGCAAUGAUACGGUGAAUACGUUUCCCGGACCUUGCUACACACACCGCCCGUCAAGCCAUGGAAGCCUGGGUGUACCUAAAGUCUGAUAACCGUAAGGAGCCGCCUAGGGUAAAACUGGUGACUGGGGCU
rnacentral:rRNA from 1 species